UGGCGGACGGGUGAGUAACACGUGAGCAACCUGCCUUUCAGAGGGGGAUAACGGCUGGAAACGGUCGCUAAUACCGCAUGACGUGUUCGGAUGGCAUCAUCUGAACAUCAAAGAUUUAUCGCUGAAAGAUGGGCUCGCGUCUGAUUAGAUAGUUGGUGGGGUAACGGCCUACCAAGUCUACGAUCAGUAGCCGGACUGAGAGGUUGAACGGCCACAUUGGGACUGAGAUACGGCCCAGACUCCUACGGGAGGCAGCAGUGGGGAAUAUUGCACAAUGGGGGAAACCCUGAUGCAGCAACGCCGCGUGAAGGAUGACGGUUUUCGGAUUGUAAACUUCUUUUCUUAGUGACGAAGACAGUGACGGUAGCUAAGGAAUAAGCAUCGGCUAACUACGUGCCAGCAGCCGCGGUAACACGUAGGAUGCAAGCGUUAUCCGGAUUUACUGGGUGUAAAGGGAGCGCAGGCGGGACUGCAAGUUGGAUGUGAAAUACCGUGGCUUAACCACGGAACUGCAUCCAAAACUGUAGUUCUUGAGUGAAGUAGAGGCAAGCGGAAUUCCGAGUGUAGCGGUGAAAUGCGUAGAUAUUCGGAGGAACACCAGUGGCGAA
rnacentral:rRNA from 1 species